rnacentral:rRNA from 1 species
CUUGGUCAUUUAGAGGAAGUAAAAGUCGUAACAAGGUUUCCGUCGGACUUUUGGUCCUCGGGCGUCCAAUCCUUCCGCGAUACGCUUGCUGAAACCUUAGUGGCCCACCUCGAGGUGGUGAUCUGCGACUCAAAAUAAGUGAUCUUGAACUGCUGGUCUGCUUAUUGUGCAGACGACAUCACUCUACCGCAGGAACGUUCCUAGCUACGGCGACGUGACUUACCUGCAGCCGCCGCAGCCUUGCGGUGGUUCACAGACUAAGUGGUGAUGGGCGCGGGAACCCGAGGGUUUCGCGUUUCAGAUAUAGCCGAGUUCCAAGGCUGCCCUAGGAUUUGCUACUGUGGGAGGGAACGCAAUUCUCCCAGGCAUAAAAACGUUCCGUAGGUGAACCUGCGGAAGGAUCAUUACCGAGUCUAGGGGGCUGUUGGCCCCCGAACCUCCAACCCUUGACUGAAACUACCGCGUUGCUUUGGCGGGCCCGUCCUGAAAACGGGCUGCCGGAGGUGUCACUGCCUCUGGCCUGCGCCUGCCAGUAGCCACAAUCAACCCUUUUUCAACCGUGACGUCUGAGUGUAAAUACAAAAUAUAUAUAAAACUUUCAACAACGGAUCUCUUGGUUCUGGCAUCGAUGAAGAACGCAGCGAAAUGCGAUAAGUAAUGCGAAUUGCAGAGUUUUUGUGAGUCAUCGAAUCUUUGAACGCAUAUUGCGCCCUCUGGUAUUCCGGAGGGCAUGCCUGUCCGAGCGUCAUUGUCAACCCUCAAGCCCUGCUUGCUGUUGGACCCCUCGACGAAAGUUGACGGCCCCAAAGAAAACGACGGUGUUGUGGCAACCCCCCAGACGCAAUGAGCUUUAACACGCACGCGUCACGGCGGUACCGCAACCCAGUCUUCAAACAACUAUUCCAAGGUUUGACCUCGGAUCAGGUAGGAAUACCCGCUGAACUUAAGCAUAUCAAUAAGCGGAGGAAAAGAAACCAACAGGGAUUACCCUAGUAACGGCGAGUGAAGCGGUAACAGCUCAAAUUUAAAAUCUGGCUCUCGGGCCCGAGUUGUAAUUUGUAGAGGAUGUUUCGGGCAAGGUCUAGGUUUAAAUUUCUUGGAACAGAAUGUCAUAGAGGGUGAGAGUCCCGUCUUGAACCGCUGACCGCGUCCAUGUGAAACUCCUUCGACGAGUCGAGUUGUUUGGGAAUGCAGCUCAAAAUGGGUGGUAAAUUUCAUCUAAAGCUAAAUAUUGGCCAGAGACCGAUAGCGCACAAGUAGAGUGAUCGAAAGAUGAAAAGCACUUUGAAAAGAGAGUUAAACAGUAUGUGAAAUUGUUGAAAGGGAAGCGCUUGUGACCAGACUUGAGUCUGACGGUUCCCCGCGGUCAUUUGACCCGGUUAUUCCGUCUUAACCAGGCCAGCAUCGGCUUGGGUGGUUGGUUAAAGGUCUUGGGAAUGUAUCUACCUCCGGGUCGACUUAUAGCCCAGGACGUAAUGCGGCCUACCCGGACCGAGGAACGCGCUUUUGCUCGGAUGCUGGCGUAAUGGUUACAAGCGGCCCGUCUUGAAACACGGACC